GAUGAACGCUAGCGACAGGCCUAACACAUGCAAGUCGAGGGGCAGCACAAGGAGCAAUCUGAGGUGGCGACCGGCGCACGGGUGAGUAACACGUAUGCAACCUACCUGUAAGAGGGGAAUAACCCGUUGAAAACGGACUAAUACCGCAUAACACUGUAGAACCGCAUGGUUUGACAGUUAAACAUUUAUGGCUUACAGAUGGGCAUGCGCAUGAUUAGCUAGUUGGUGAGGUAACGGCUCACCAAGGCAACGAUCAUUAGGGGUUCUGAGAGGAAGGUCCCCCACACUGGUACUGAGACACGGACCAGACUCCUACGGGAGGCAGCAGUGAGGAAUAUUGGUCAAUGGGCGAGAACCUGAACCAGCCAAGUCGCGUGAAGGAUGAAGGUUUUAUGAAUUGUAAACUUCUUUUGCAGGGGAAUAAAGUGUCCGACGUGUCGGAUUUUGUAUGUACUCUGCGAAUAAGGAUCGGCUAACUCCGUGCCAGCAGCCGAC
rnacentral:rRNA from 1 species